CUCAUCAAUUCGUCCCCAUCCCCUUUCCUCUUUCUGCCAUAGUGAUAAGGUUCGUCAGCACAAAAUCGGCCGCAGGUGGAGGGCAAGCUGCUCGGCGGCGAUAACUCGCGCGACCGCGACGGCGAGUGGAGGAUCAGCUGAUUGGUGGCGAUAAAUCGCGCGACCGAGACGGGGGAGAGCGACGCCGUGCGGCGAGGAACUUUAGUCGCUAUUGCGUCGAUAGCUCAUGCGACCGCGGCGGGGAAGAGACACGUCCGCGCGACGAGGGAGCCUAGCCGCUCGCUGCUGACAGCUCGUGCGACUGCGGCCUGUGCAGCAGAGGCGCGUCCGCACGACUACAGAGCUAAGUCGCUAGCUGAAGGCUUACGUCCAGCACAACAAUGGAUGCAACCUGUUCGUGGGGCUGCCGGAGACUUAGAAGUUCAAUUCAACAAAGCUGCCAACAUCUUUCCGUGCAAACGAAAAAAACUCAAACCCUCACCCCCAUCUCGUUUUGGUGUCCUUUCUUUAAAGCAUGGCAAAAAAAUGUGUCGCCUUUGUUUUAUAUAGACCAAUUUUUCACUGGGACAGAAAUAUUGCCUACAACGGCAAACUAAAGCAGCCUGUAAUAGUAAACCAUGUGUUGCAGAAAUGCACACCAUGCUGCCUGCAUGGCAAAGCACAAGAAGAUUGACUUGUUCCAUUGGUCUAAUUUUUGACAGUUUUAUAACUCAAUCAGUUCUAAACAAAAAAUAUGUUGUUCAACUACAACAUGACCACUUGCUAAAUCCUAGAUGUUAUCAAUAAACAAUAACGCUAGAUUGAUUGUGCAGUUUACAGAAUUGGUGAAAUUUGCACUCCAUCUUUCAAUAUCCGAAGUGGUCAAGUUUAAUUAAUUAGAGCUGGGUAAAGAAGGUAUGUGACCUAGAAAUUCAAACACUAAGUCUGGCUGACACAACUCCUUUCAUUUGCGGUCAUGCCGAUUUCGUAGGUCUGGAGUUGUCAGUUCUGGUUGAACUUUCUUUUUUGUGUUCCUGCAUACACCGACCAAGUGCCUCAAUGCGGUCAUGCUGAUUUCUUGCACCAGGUGAGCCCGACCAAGAGGAGCUAGCCAGAUUUAGAGUUCUCGUUGCCGCCAUCCUCCGUUGCCCAUCAGGUCUGGCCUUUCGUAGGUGUGUACUCUAGAUCAUGCCGCGCCGCUGUUCUGCAGGUCCGGCUCAGGCCGGCCGCCCCUCUCCGGCUCUCCCACUCUCUCUCAGUCUCUCCCCUCCCCUCCAGCCGUCUCUCUCGGCCUCUCCCUCCCCUGCAGCAGCAGCAGCAGCAGGGCGCUGGGCGGAGGAGAGACCGAGAGGGCCGGAGGCGGAAGGGAGAGUCGGAGCCCAAGGGCAGGGGAGGGAGAGCCCGAGAGAGCCGGCCGGAGGGAAGGGGAGGGACUGAGGGAGAGUGGAGGCGUGGGCAGCCGCCGGCGCGAAGAAGCCUCCUGCAGCGUGCCCCCUUCUAUGUCACUGGAUAAGUUAUAAGAAAGGAGCGUGGGGUUGAAUUCUAAGAAAUUCAGGGGUUAAUGUAUAAAACCAAAUCGUUUUUUAGAAUACCACUUAAAGAGGGACUGCGGGUUUAAUUUAAAAAAACAUAAGGACUUUUUUGUAAAAUGUGCAACGACGGACGACCAGAAGCCUUAGCCGCUUUAUUAGUAGGGAAAGAUUAUUAUUAUUAUUAUUAUUAUUAUUAUUAUUAUUAUUAUUAUUAUUAUAUAUUACCUAUUAUUAAAGGGAAUAUGUAUUCUUGGUUUGGUCCAUAGUAAAUUUGUCGUCCGUCUUUUGAUCUAAGUUUUUUUGGUACGUCAAAGCGUACAGAAGUUGAACUAUGUGUGAACACAGCGUGUACGUGGUCUUCAAGUUGUAAUUUUAGUGGGCUUGAAAGAUUGGGCCUGGUUUGUGGUU